UUACGUGGGACGUAAAGCGCAUGCAGGCGGCCUGUUAAGUCAGAUGUAGAAGCCGGGGCUUAACCUCGGAAUUGCAUUUGAAACUGGCAGGCUAGAGUCUUGUAGAGGGGGUAGAAUUUCAGGUGUAGCGGUGAAAUGCGUAGAGAUCUGAAGGAAUACCAGUGGCGAAGGCGGCCCCCUGGACAAAGACUGACGCUCAGAUGCGAAAGCGUGGGGAGCAAACAGGAUUAGAUACCCUGGUAG
rnacentral:rRNA from 1 species